CUCGCUGAAAUCGGUCUGCUUGCAACUGCUAAGAGACAUUAUGAGUAAUAACUUGUUUUUUUUUAGUCUGGCCGAUAUAUUUUCGGUAUAUCCUAAAAUUUUUGAAGAGCUUGUAUCCAACCGUGUAAAUGUGGCAAAAAUAUAUUUACCCAGUGACACAGAAUGGCAGGACAAGAUGUACUACAUGUUAUUAGAUGUACAAAAAGCAGUAAACGAAGCUUUGGAAUGUGGCCAAAAUUACGAUGAACUUAUCAGACACAAAGAGAAACCUAUAUUCGACGCUACUCACAUUCAACAUUUUUCGCCGGCUUCGAGUCCAUGCAACAACUUAUUAGAAGAGCACAAGAAAAAAUGUCAACAUGCCCUUAGUAAAAGAAAGACUAAAGUUAGUAUUGUUUGGACUUUGGAUGAUAUCACUAAUGCCGCCAAACUUUUAAAGAAACCACCAGGCAAAGUAAGAUUUUCAAAUGAAUAUGAAAUGAGAAAAGUUUAUUCAUUGAUAUAUGACGUUUUCAGAUAUAAAGCCGUAUUAAGCAAUGCUUUAGAUGAUAUAAAGUUUUUCGAAGUGAACCCGCAGUUUCGUGCCAAGGAGAAUCAGGUUUGGCUUAUGCUCUAUGAACUUCACAAAAGGUCAUUCAACCGAAGGAACGCAGAUAAAUGUAAGGAGGAAAGAGUUAAAUACACUGAAUCAAAUGUAAAUGAUAUAUCUGAUUGCUUGUGGAAAUGUAGAAGGAAGUUGGCAGCCUCAAUGUCCAGAAUGCGCAUUAAAUAUGGCGCACUAAAACUAUCAAACCUUUUGCCACCUCAUUUGCAGAACGAGAAAGUAGCUAUCGCAGCAACAAACCCAAUUAUUACUGGCUGGAUAAACCCAUUUUUAGUCAGAGACAAGGAAUCAGCGGAACAUCUUUUCAAAGAAAACGGAUUCGAAGUUAUUGACACUGAGCAAGAUCUAACUGAAGGAACUCUUAAGUGGGACAAUGUAUGCCCCCUAUUUUUAUCCUGCAUACCACUAGACAGAAACAUUUUUGCGAAAUCUCAACUUGUCCUUAAGAAUUUCUUCAUAAUACAGGAUCGCGCAUUCUCGGUAGGACCCGCCGUCAUGUCCCGGUUACUGGAUUUCUAUGAUCUAUCUGGAGAUAUUUUACAGACCCAUAUAGAUUCUCCGCGCUCCACAGCAUACUUGGCAUCAUUAUAUUAUUCAGUGAACCGAAUCAACUGUUUUUAUGUCUAUGGAGCAGGUUCAAGUUUGAAACAAUAUCGGAAUUAUAUUGAAGGCCUAGGAGUAAAUAACGUAAGGUUGUUCGCCGAAUCGUUCACCUCCUUUCCCAUAGAGUCUAACCGGUUUCGUACAGUAGUCGGAAUCUUAGCAAACCCGCCAAAUUCAUUCAGUGCCAUUUCUGAUCCCAUCGACUUGAUUUGUUCGCGUGGUGGGGAUUUGGGUAUGCUUGAAAUGUUGACGGAGACUGCAAUAAGUAACGAUGGAAGAUACAGAGUUUCAUUAAUAUUGGAAGAACAAUUGCGAACAUUAUCAAUGGCUAUGUCUCGACCUCAGGUGCAAUUUAUAUUAUACCAGACGCAUUCUAUUCUCAUCAGUGAAAAUCAGGAUAUGAUAAAAUGUGCAACAAAUUUGGUUAAUAAGGCAGCCUUACAAAAACACUGUAACUUGUUACUGGAGAAAAAGCGAUUGGAAGCGUUAGAAGAGGCGGAGACAGCAAACAUUCCAUCUGCUGCAAUGGGUAGCUCUCCCAGAAAACGUAACGUACCGCCUGAUGUAAAACACCAACAAAGCACGACUGGCGUUGCAAUUGACCCACCAACUGAGAGUAUUGAAACGGGUACGAUAGACGUCCUUCCAGACAUGGACGAGUUCAUAUCGGUAGAUAUACCAGAUGUUUGCAAAAAUCAAGACAAAUGUAUACAACAUUGUGACAACGGAUGUUUCUUGUCUUUGGUGCAGCGGAGACAAAUAACUAGGCUCAAUGCAAAAUAUCUUAUUAAAAUGGCUGAAAUUAGAGGUCUAUUUGGUAAUAACGCAGAUAACAAUUCUAACAAACUCAGACAAUUAAGAGAUCAAGAAAGUAAUAUUGACCUGCAAAGACAAAAACAAUCCGGGGAGGAGUGCACACAUAAAACGUACCAGAAUAUUGAAACACUGAUCCUUUCGAUUGGUGGAGGGUAUGAAAAGUUCGACCUGGCAAAACUUAGCUGCUUUGUUACUUGCUACAGAUUAAUUUCACGAUUUUACGAUUGGGUACGCCAACAUCCACCAGUAUUAUUCGAUCUAAUUUGAAAAUGGCAUCGAAGCUCAAACAUCCAAUAAGAUUCGAUUGUAAUAACCGUGUAUGUAAGAAACGGAGUAAAUGUGUGAUAAUGAAAAUAUGUGUUGGAAAAUAUGGCGAACAAAUCAAAGCAUACAAGUGGAAAAAACCCUACCCGAUUAGCCUUGUCGAAUUGCAAUUUUAAACAUGUAAUACCUUCUUUAUGUCCUUCACCAUUGAGAUGACGGUAUACUAAAUUUGUCAAUCCGUUUCGGCGCAGACCCCAUAAAAUGCAUAAAUCCGUCAUCAGCAUAAAAUGUAAAUCGAUUUGAUAAAGAGCUUCGAAAAUUUGUAUAAUAGCUUCUAUGUACACGCAUUAAAAGUUUUGGCGUCGAUAGUCCCACCGAA